rnacentral:lncRNA from 1 species
GUCCUAUUUCAGUUUUAACAUAAUAUUCUUUUUAAAGAUCCAAGUGGUCCUUUAUGCAAUGAUACCAGUAUAGCCACACUGUUUAUUUUCAAUUCAAUCUAGAAUAUCUGAGGUAAAUUUAGAGAAGACUAAGAAAAAUGGCUCUCAAUUAUUCAGCCAUUUCUCUUACUUCUACUUCGUUUUGAUAAGAAAUGCUGAAAAAAAGGUUUAGAGGUGUGGCCAUGGAAAAUUCUGGAAAGCAGGCAAUAAAUGAGGAACCUGACUAUCCAACACAGAAAUAUUAUGUAGAACCAGAGGAAACAAUGAGAGACCAGGCACCAGAAAACUUCCUUCUAAAAUAGAAAGUGAAAAGCUACAAGAGUAUAAAAGUCUGCUAAACCCAUGGACUACACAAAAUGGCACCCAAAGCAACUGUUCAUCUAUAGGAUCAUCUUGAUAUUAAUUAGCCCUUUCUGAAGUUCAUAAAUAAAAACUUUUUAAAGAAAUAAAAUAUCAUUUAGCCAUGUUUUUCAAAGCCACUUUGGAAUGUGUAUGUUAAAUCUUUAGUACAGUGAAUUAAUCUUUGCUUCCUCACACAACUAAAGUUGCUAAUGGGCAGAAGACAACAGUGUCAUCAACUUCUAGUUCAGUAUUUCCUCAUGUUUUUAAUGUCUUUUCAGUUAGUGAUUCUUAUAUGACAAAUACUAUAUGAGUUAUAAGAAAAUUUACCUAAAAGAAGUAUGUUUCUGAGUUCAAAGGAAAUUUUAGAGAUCAUUGCUUAGUAAACAAACUAUCCUAAUGACAGAAUAAAUAGCAGCCCUGAGAAGACUGGGAUUAGAAAAGCUGGAGUUCCUCAUUCCAAUACCUUUUACAAGUUCAUUUUCAAAAUUCUGUCAGUCACAGGCACUGCCUAUGCAAAACGUCAUUUUAAAAAUGUGUAAAAAGAAAG